rnacentral:rRNA from 1 species
GACGAACGCUGCCGGCGUGCUUAACACAUGCAAGUCGAACGGAAAGGCCUGCAGCUUGCUGCGGGUACUCGAGUGGCGAACGGGUGAGUAACACGUGGGUGAUCUGCCUUGCACUUCGGGAUAAGCUUGGGAAACUGGGUCUAAUACCGGAUAGGACAGCUGUUUAGUGUCAGUUGUGGAAAGUUUUUUCGGUGCAAGAUGAGCUCGCGGCCUAUCAGCUUGUUGGUGGGGUAAUGGCCUACCAAGGCGUCGACGGGUAGCCGGCCUGAGAGGGUGUACGGCCACAUUGGGACUGAGAUACGGCCCAGACUCCUACGGGAGGCAGCAGUGGGGAAUAUUGCACAAUGGGCGGAAGCCUGAUGCAGCGACGCCGCGUGGGGGAUGAAGGCCUUCGGGUUGUAAACUCCUUUCGACAGGGACGAAGCGUAAGUGACGGUACCUGUAUAAGAAGCACCGGCUAACUACGUGCCAGCAGCCGCGGUAAUACGUAGGGUGCGAGCGUUGUCCGGAAUUACUGGGCGUAAAGAGCUCGUAGGUGGUUUGUCGCGUCGUCUGUGAAAUUCCGGGGCUUAACUCCGGGCGUGCAGGCGAUACGGGCUGACUUGAGUGCUGUAGGGGAGACUGGAAUUCCUGUGUAGCGGUGAAAUGCGCAGAUAUCAGGAGGAACACCGAUGGCGAAGGCAGGUCUCUGGGCAGUAACUGACGCUGAGGAGCGAAAGCAUGGGUAGCGAACAGGAUUAGAUACCCUGGUAGUCCAUGCCGUAAACGGUGGGCGCUAGGUGUAGGGGGCUUCCACGUCUUCUGUGCCGUAGCUAACGCAUUAAGCGCCCCGCCUGGG